UACCAGCCAGUUAGUAAUAUAAAUGAUUGCCAGUUACUAUCUUUGUACACAGCCAUAUUGGUCCCAAGAUACUAGAGAGACAAAGUGGGGGAGGCAGUAUCUUUUAUUGGGCCAACUUCUAAGCUUGUCUCUCUCACC